ACAGACACUCUAUCAACUACAACAACAACAACAUCGUUGGAUUUAGAGGAUACUAAUGUUGGGGGUAUUGUUGGUGGAAUAGUUGGUGUUAUAUUAGUUAUUGCUAUAGUCGGUGCUGUCAUAUUCUUUUAUAAAAGAAGAGACCAAACAGAUAAGUCACCAACUACAGCUGUCCAUGUUAGUAGAAAUGUUCCAAAUCAACGACAUCAAACUGACUCGGCCUUACCUAGAAACAUAACCCCUCAUUAUUCAGAUAACGAGUUGGAUAAUACCACGUGCCCUUCAAGUAAUCAUUAUAAUUAUGUUGGACAGACAACUGACGAGGAUAACUACCACCAUAUUGGA